rnacentral:lncRNA from 1 species
AAUAAGUAAAUCGUUUCGAGGUAAAUAUGACACAACUAAUAAAAUUGAAAAUGGAAAUGGGGAAUGUGUAAAGUUCCAUUUAUUGGCGCAAUUCAUAUUAUAAAAAAGAAAGAAGAGAUGGGCGCGAUUCAAACCUUUACAAUUUGACAAAUUACAACUGACCGUUUUGACAAACCAGUAAAUUCUUCGUCCGGGGAUAUGCAGCUGACAUUAAUCUUCCUUCAGUAACUUUACAAUACCCAGCCGUGUCAUUUCCGUAUAUUGUACAUGUAGAUAGCACGUGUGAUACAUGUAUAUACACCAGAAAUACCCAUUCAAGUGAUUUUUAUUUUUAGAAGAACUCCAUAUCGGGUAACAUUAAAUAUACAUACACAUAAAAUUACAAUUGAAAAAAAAAUGUUAAUAAUAAGUUCAAAUGUUGUUUUUAUUAAAUGCACCUACAACAUGUAAGUACGUAUUCGUAAACUUAUGUUGUUACUUUAUUUCAUAUAAAUUUUAUUUUUCUCGUUGUGUUGCUUGUCCAUUAAUUGACGUUUACGCUAUAUUUUUUGUUCGGUAUUUGUGAAAACCUGCUCAUCUAUCAAUUUC